AGAUUGAACGCUGGCGGCAGGCCUAACACAUGCAAGUCGAGCGGUAGAGAGGUGCUUGCACCUCUUGAGAGCGGCGGACGGGUGAGUAAUGCCUAGGAAUCUGCCUAGUGGUGGGGGAUAACGUUCGGAAACGGACGCUAAUACCGCAUACGUCCUACGGGAGAAAGCGGGGGACCUUCGGGCCUCGCGCCAUUAGAUGAGCCUAGGUCGGAUUAGCUAGUUGGUGAGGUAAUGGCU
rnacentral:rRNA from 1 species